rnacentral:rRNA from 1 species
UACGUAGGGGGCAAGCGUUGUUCGGAAUGACUGGGCGUUAAGGGUGCGUAGGCGGUGUAGCAAGUUAGAAGUGAAAUACCUAGAGCUUAACUCAGGUGCUGCUUCUAAAACUGCUAUACUUGAGUGCAGUAGAGGAAAGUGGAAUUCCUAGUGUAGCGGUGGAAUGCGUAGAUAUUAGGAGGAACAUCAGUGGCGAAGGCGACUUUCUGGACUGUAACUGACGUUGAGGCCCGAAAGCGUGGGGAGCAAACAGG